AACGAACGCUGGCGGCAGGCUUAACACAUGCAAGUCGAACGCCCCGCAAGGGGAGUGGCGCACGGGUGCGUAACGCGUGGGAACAUGCCCUUAGGUGCGGAACAACGUCGGGAAACUAACGCUAAUACCGCAUAAUAUCUCCGGAUCAAAGAUUAUCGCCUAAGGAUUGGCCCGCGUUAGAUUAGGUAGUUGGUGGGGUAAUGGCCUACCAAGCCGACGAUCUAUAGCUGGUCUGAGAGGAUGAUCAGCCACACUGGAACUGAGACACGGUCCAGACUCCUACGGGAGGCAGCAGUGAGGAAUAUUGGACAAUGGGGGAAACCCUGAUCCAGCCAUGCCGCGUGAGUGAUGAAGGCCUUAGGGUUGUAAAGCUCUUUUAGAUGGGAAGAUAAUGACUGUACCAUUAGAAUAAGCCCCGGCUAAAUUCGUGCCAGCAGCCGCGGUAA
rnacentral:rRNA from 1 species